AAUUUUGAAAAGAUAGCAAGUUAAAGGGAUCAAGAGAGCGGAACGUCCGGCCCCGUCGGGUUUCGAGGCUUUAUGGUGAUGGCGAUGGGUGAAUAAAUGGGGGCGGAGUCAAGAAAUGGUGUUGGUGAAGGAGCGGCGGGCGGGCGAUUGGUGAAAGGAGAAGAGAGAUGGUUGGAGGAGUAAAAAGAGCAAGUUG
ensembl:ncRNA F25H8.15 ncRNA